GACGAACGCUGGCGGCGUGCCUAAUACAUGCAAGUUGAGCGCUGAAGGUUGGUACUUGUACCAACUGGAUGAGCAGCGAACGGGUGAGUAACGCGUGGGGAAUCUGCCUUUGAGCGGGGGACAACAUUUGGAAACGAAUGCUAAUACCGCAUAAAAACUUUAAACACAAGUUUUAAGUUUGAAAGAUGCAAUUGCAUCACUCAAAGAUGAUCCCGCGUUGUAUUAGCUAGUUGGUGAGGUAAAGGCUCACCAAGGCGAUGAUACAUAGCCGACCUGAGAGGGUGAUCGGCCACAUUGGGACUGAGACACGGCCCCAACUCCUACGGGAGGCAGCAGUAGGGGAUCUUCGGCAAUGGACGAAAGUCUGACCGAGCAACGCCGCGUGAGUGAAGAAGGUUUUCGGAUCGUAAAACUCUGUUGGUAGAGAAGAACGUUGGUGAGAGUGGAAAGCUCAUCAAGUGACGGUAACUACCCAGAAAGGGACGGCUAACUACGUG
rnacentral:rRNA from 1 species